GUUCCCCUGAAACCUCCAUGACUCUGAAGCUUACUGACCCAAGGCAAAGGAGAAUAGUCACCCGGGCUUUUGGCGCAGCACUUUUUGGUCAUCGCCAACCAAAUUUUAUGUUGCCACUUGCCCGGGAAUAGAAUCAACAUCGUCUCCAUCUCCCUGACACCACAAAAUCACGAAGAAGAAAGGUCUACAACAGUACUUCUGUGUUGUAUUAAGUACCAAUCAAAGAUUUCUUGAGGGAAUGUACCAGAACUGAUUAAAAUCUGCCAGCAUUUUCACCCAAAUGUGCCUUGAAGUCAAGUAAUAUGAAUGACCCACGGAUUCCUUUAUUUUUGUUUUGGAUCAUUUUAUUUUCCUUAUGACCACAGGAGAAAUCUACAAGAACUUCCUCCUGGAGAACUUUAAUAACAAGAACUGAUUCAUCUUUUAUGAGAGAAGCUGUCAACAUGGCAGAAAGCCAGACGUGAAAAACCAGACCCCGGGACAUUACAGCAGUUUCCUACAACGGCCAUAACAAACUACCACACACUGGGUGGCUUAAAACAAUGGCAAUUUGUUCUUUCGUAGUUCUGGAGGCUAGAAGUCACAAAUCGAGGUAUUGACCGACCGCGGCCAUGAACCUUCCAAAUGCUUUCGGGGGCAAUCUCUUCCAUGCCAUUGUCUUAGCUUCAUUGGUUGCCAGCAGUCCUGGUAUUUGUGUCCCUGCUCCAUCACCACGUGGCAUUUUUCCUGCAAGUCUGGCAUCGUCUUCCCUCUGUGCAUGUUUGCCUCUGUAUAUCUUCACCUUUUCUUAUGGAACAACAGUAGUAUUGGAUAAAGGGUCCAUCCUACCACA